AUUCUAUCCAUAUGGGGAAGGAUGAGAAGCUUCGACCAAGGUUCGAUUCGAGCGCAGCGAGAAAGCGUUGCCGCAGGCAACGACCCGAAGGGCGAAGCGCGCAGCGCUGAGUCAUCCUUCCCCCACCACCA
rnacentral:sRNA from 1 species